rnacentral:misc_RNA from 1 species
GAUGAAGAACGCAGCGAAAUGCGAUACUUGGUGUGAAUUGCAGAAUCCCGUGAACCAUCGAGUCUUUGAACGCAAGUUGCGCCCGAAGCCAUUAGGCCGAGGGCACGCCUGCCUGGGCGUCACACGUCGUUGCCCCCCCAUCUACUCCUUCGGGAUUGCGGGGGGCGGAUGAUGGCCUCCCGUGCGCCUCGCCGCGCGGUUGGCAUAAAUGCCAAGUCCUCGGCGACGCACGCCACGACAAUCGGUGGUUGCGAAACCUCGGUUGCCCGUCGUGUGCGGUCGUCGCGCAUCGAGGGCUCGAAAAAAUUGCCGGGUUCCGGCUCGGCUUUCAACGCGACCCUAGGUCAGGCGGGGUUACCCGCUGAAUUUAAGCAUAUCAAUAAGCGAGGA